UACGUAGGCAGCGAGCGUUGUUCGGAAUUACUGGGCGUAAAGAGUGUGUAGGCGGUGCUCUAAGUUCGGUGUGAAAUCUCCCGGCUUAACUGGGAGGGUGCGCCGGAAACUGGAGUGCUCGAGCGUGGGAGAGGAAAGCGGAAUUCCUGGUGUAGCGGUGAAAUGCGUAGAUAUCAGGAGGAACACCUGUGGCGAAAGCGGCUCACUGGACCAUAACUGACGCUGAUGCACGAAAACUAGGGGAGCAAACAGG
rnacentral:rRNA from 1 species